rnacentral:lncRNA from 10 species
CAGGGGCUUCAGGGACUAUGGAUGACUCCACUGAGAAUAAGGAUAAGAUGCUGGGCUCCAGAGGAGGCAAAUGUGGUGGCUGCUGUCUGAGGGACAGAGGGUUACCCAUAUGGUAUUCCUAGAAUUCCACUAGAAGCAACCCUGGAGCCCACUUCUGAAAAUGGGCAGGAGUUACUCGGAAGGGGCUGUCCCACUCCAUUCAGGAUGCUACACAUCUGGGCCAUGACCAUAUCUCUACUUCAAGCCCUGCGUUCUGACAACUGCAUCAUCUUUUGUGAAAUAGCCAUGACAGGAUUUGCUAAUUUUCCUUUUCAAAAUGUUCUUCUUUAGGAAAAAAAAGUAACUUUAGGGUAAUCACCUCAAUGAGCGUAUGAAAAAAAGUUUAAUGGCCAAUGAACCUAAAAAUCUUGGCCCAUUCCCCAGGUCACACAAACCUUUACUCCAUGAAAUUUACUCAGUGGGUCAGAAACCAGAAGGCCAUGACAAGGAGAUCUCUGUAUUGCUUAACCUACUUGCUGUUGAAAAUAGACACUUAUGUUUCUGUGGCUCUCUUAAUAAUGAUAAUGGUAAUGAUGAUAAUAAUAAUAAUAAAUAAUGUUAAAGAAUAAAU